rnacentral:misc_RNA from 1 species
AACGAGGCCGACCUGCGGCUGAGUUACCUGCGGAAGGAUCAUUACACAAUACAAUAUGAAGGCUGUCCGCAGCUGGAGUAUUUUAUUACCCUUGUCUUUUGCGCACUUGUUGUUUCCUGGGCGGGUUCGCUCGCCACCAGGACCACCAAAUAAACCUUUUUUAUGCAGUUGCAAUCAGCGUCAGUACAAACAAUGUAAAUCAUUUACAACUUUUAGCAAUGGAUCUCAGAUCGGAAGAGC